UUCCCUUACGAUCACCGAAGUUAAGCAACGUCGAGCUGGGUCAGUACUUAGAUGGGUGACUUUUGGGGAAUACCCCGUGCUGUAAG